rnacentral:rRNA from 1 species
UACGUAGGUGGCAAGCGUUAUCCGGAUUUACUGGGUGUAAAGGGAGCGUAGACGGCUAAUCAAGUCAGAAGUGAAAACCCAGGGCUCAACUUUGGGACUGCUUUUGAAACUGAGUAGCUAGAGUGCAGGAGAGGUAAGCGGAAUUCCUAGUGUAGCGGUGAAAUGCGUAGAUAUUAGGAGGAACACCAGUGGCGAAGGCGGCUUGCUGGGCCUGUACUGACAUUGAGGCACGAAAGCGUGGGGAGCAAACAGG